AAGACUAUAGACCUGCGGAGUACCUGCGGAGGGAUCAUCGAAGAAUUAUUUCCAAUUAUAAAAAAGAGGAGGGAGGGGAAAAAGGGGGAGGAACUCUCUCUAUGGGGGGGCCUUCCCACUCUCUUUCUUUCUCCUUUUUUUAUAAACAAACAAACAAACAAACAAUCGCAACUAUAACUAUAAAAAGGAGAAUUUGGUUUGGUUUGAAUGAAUGAAUGAAUGAAUGAAUGUUUGUGAAGG
rnacentral:misc_RNA from 1 species